CCCGUGGCCCAGUGGGUAGAGUGAUGCACUUGGAGUUUGGCGUGAGGGAAGUGAGGGGCGCGUAGGUUCGAACCCCCCUCUCGGAACUCGCAAAAACCUUCAAAGAGCAUCCCUCCAUCACCAUGUGUGCCUCAAACACACAGGCACGGUGGUGGAGCUGCCCACGGGGAGGAGGGGAGGUGAGUGCGCAGCACCUCCCUACCCUCCCCAGGAGUGGAAGGCAUGGCCUUACCACCCCCGGGAGAGCAAGGGAGGUGAGUGCACAGCGCUUUCCUUCUCUCCCCACCUAACCCUGGCAAGUCUACGGACUACCAGACGAAAAAAAAAAAAAAAAAAAAGAUUAAACAAAUGAUUAUUAAAAAAUAAAGGUGAGUGCAUAGCACUUUCCUUGUCUGCAAAAGAAAAAUGAAUAAAUAAAAUAUAAAGGUGAGUGCACAGCACUUCCCUUGUCUUCAAGCAAAAGAAAAAUUAAUAAAUAAAAAAAUAAAGGUGAGUGCAUAGCACUUCCCUUCUCUCAACACCUACCAGGCAAAAAAAAAAAAUAAAUAAGAAAAAAAUAUUAAUAAAUAAAAGAUACGAGCUACCUACCUGACCCUGGAAAAAAAAAGUUUGAAAAAUAUAUGAAAAAAAAAAUACUAAUCUGACCUUGGCACCACCAACCUAACUGACUCUUGACCACCAACCCUGACCAACCACCGACCGUGGGAAGCAUGGGAGGUGAGUGUGCAGCACCUCCCUACCUUCCCCAGUCUCCCAAGUUUGACUCUAACAACCACCAACCUGACUGACCAAGAAAACACCAUCAGAGGAAGAAGAAGGAGGCAAGGGAGCAGGGGAGGUGAGUGUGCAGCACUUCCCUAACCCCCAAUCUCAUUCUGACCACCUACUGACUGGCAGCAGACCACCACCGACCUGACUGAACUGAAUAAUUAAAAACUAGGGAAGCAUGGGAGGUGAGUGUGCAGCAUCUCCCUACCCUUCCCAGUUUGACUCUGACAACCUGACUUAUCCUGGCAUCUCCAAUCUCACUGACCACCACCAACCUCACUGAUUCGGAGGAGCAAUGAAGGUGAGUGUGCAGUUACUCUGACUCUGACCAUCACCUGACUGACCGACCCUGGGGAGCAUGGGAGGUGAGUGUGCAGCACCUCCCUACCCCCAUAUCUGAUUCUGACCACCAGCCUGACUUGACUGACUAUGGCAACAGACCACCAAACUGACUGACUAAGGGGAGUGUGUAGCACCUCCCUAACCCCCAAUCUGAUUCUGACCACCUACUGACUGACUGACCUUGGGAAGCAUGGGAAGUGAGUGUGCAGCACCUCCCUACCCUUCCCAUUCUUUCAGGAACCUCACUUAUUCGGGGGAGCAAGGGGAGGUGAGUGUGCAGCACACCCCUAACCCCCAAUCUGAUUCUGACCCUGGCAAGUGAGUGUACAGCACCUCCUUACCUGUACUGAUUCUGGGGAGCAGGGGAGGUGAGUGUGCAGUGCCUCCUACUCCCCCCAUUCUCACUCUGACCACCACCAGCCUGACUGAUCCUGGUAAGGCGGAUGUGCAGCAAUUCCAAAACAACUAACCUCCCAGUUUGUCUCUAACCACCAGCCUUACUGCUUCGGAGGCGAGUGUGCAGCACCUCCCUACCCUCCCCAGAGGAGGAAGGCACCGCCUUACCACCCCCUACCACCAAAUCCCUACCACCAAAUCCGAUUCUAACCCUGGCAACUGAUCCUGGCAACUAGCUGACUCUGGCAACAGACCAAGGGUAGGUGAGUGUGCAGCACCUCCCUACUGACCUGACCACCAACCCUGACCCUGGGAAGCAUGGGAGGUGAGUGUGCAGCACCUCCCUACCCUUCCUCCCACCAACCUGACGGACUCUGGCAACCCCAAAAACAACUAACCUGACUGGGGAGGAGGGGAGAUGAGUGUGCAGCACCUCCCUAACCCCCUAAUCUGACUCUGACCACCAGCCUGACCCUGACAAACUGACCAUCAAGAUGACUCACUCAUUGAUUCGGGGAAGGUGAGUGCAAUACCUCCUACUCUCCCCAAUCUAACACUGACUACAGAUCUGACUGACCCUGACUGACUCUAGAGGGGAGGUGAGUGUGCACCACCUGCCUGACUGAUCCUGGCAAGGUUAGUGUGCAACAGCAACUCCCUACUGACUCUGGCAACAGAGUCUGACUGAACCUGGGGAGCGGGGGAGAUAAGUGUGCAGAACCUCCCUACCCUUCUCAGUCUCCCAGUUUGACCACCUACAUGACUGACCAACCUCACUGCUUCGGAGGAGCUCUGACCACUAACUAAAUGACCCUGACUGGCUCGUGGUUUCCUCACUCUGAUUUUGAUUG